CCUACGGGUGGCAGCAGUGAGGAAUAUUGGUCAAUGGAGGCAACUCUGAACCAGCCAAGUAGCGUGCAGGAUGACGGCCCUAUGGGUUGUAAACUUCUUUUAUGCGGGAAUAAACUGAGUCACGUGUGGCUUAUUGCAUGUACCUCAUGAAUAAGGACCGGCUAAUUCCGUGCCAGCAGCCGCGGUAAUACGGAGGGUCCGGGCGUUAUCCGGAUUUAUUGGGUUUAAAGGGAGCGCCGGGGGCUGGUUAAGGUAGUGGUGAAAGGCGGCGGAUAAACCGUGAAAUUGCAAUGGAAACGGGGAGUAUAGAGCACGGGGGAGGUAGGGGGAAUGCGUGGUG
rnacentral:rRNA from 1 species